rnacentral:rRNA from 1 species
AUUGAACGCUAGCGGGAUGCCUUACACAUGCAAGUCGAACGGCAGCACGGACUUCGGUCUGGUGGCGAGUGGCGAACGGGUGAGUAAUGUAUCGGAACGUGCCCAGUAGCGGGGGAUAACUACGCGAAAGCGUAGCUAAUACCGCAUACGCCCUACGGGGGAAAGCAGGGGAUCGCAAGACCUUGCACUAUUGGAGCGGCCGAUAUCGGAUUAGCUAGUUGGUGGGGUAACGGCUCACCAAGGCGACGAUCCGUAGCUGGUUUGAGAGGACGACCAGCCACACUGGGACUGAGACACGGCCCAGACUCCUACGGGAGGCAGCAGUGGGGAAUUUUGGACAAGGGGGGAAACCCUGAUCCAGCCAUCCCGCGUGUGCGAUGAAGGCCUUCGGGUUGUAAAGCACUUUUGGCAGGAAAGAAACGUCGUGGGUUAAUACCCCGCGAAACUGACGGUACCUGCAGAAUAAGCACCGGCUAACUACGUGCCAGCAGCCGCGGUAAUACGUAGGGUGCAAGCGUUAAUCGGAAUUACUGGGCGUGAAGCGUGCGCAGGCGGUUCGGAAAGAAAGAUGUGAAAUCCCAGAGCUUAACUUUGGAACUGCAUUUUUAACUACCGGGCUAGAGUGUGUCAGAGGGAGGUGGAAUUCCGCGUGUAGCAGUGAAAUGCGUAGAUAUGCGGAGGAACACCGAUGGCGAAGGCAGCCUCCUGGGAUAACACUGACGCUCAUGCACGAAAGCGUGGGGAGCAAACAGGAUUAAAUACCCUGGUAGUCCACGCCCUAAACGAUGUCAACUAGCUGUUGGGGCCUUCGGGCCUUGGUAGCGCAGCUAACGCGUGAAGUUGACCGCCUGGGGAGUACGGUCGCAAGAUU